rnacentral:rRNA from 1 species
CCUACGGGGGGCAGCAGUGGGGAAUAUUGGACAAUGGGGGCAACCCUGAUCCAGCCAUGCCGCGUGUGUGAAGAAGGCCCUCGGGUUGUAAAGCACUUUCAGUGAGGAAGAACGCCUGGUGGUUAAUACCCAUCAGGAAAGACAUCACUCACAGAAGAAGCACCGGCUAACUCCGUGCCAGCAGCCGCGGUAAUACGGAGGGUGCGAGCGUUAAUCGGAAUUACUGGGCGUAAAGCGCGCGUAGGUGGCUUGAUAAGCCGGUUGUGAAAGCCCCGGGCUCAACCUGGGAACGGCAUCCGGAACUGUCAAGCUAGAGUGCAGGAGAGGAAGGUAGAAUUCCCAGUGUAGCGGUGAAAUGCGUAGAGAUCGGGAGGAAUACCAGUGGCGAAGGCGGCCUUCUGGACUGACACUGACACUGAGGUGCGAAAGCGUGGGUAGCAAACAGGAUUAGAUACCCCUGUAGUC